GAGUUUGAUCUUGGCUCAGGGUUAACGCUGGCGGUGCGCAUAACACAUGCAAGUCGAGCGAGGGCUUAUUUCUCGCAAGAGAGAUGAGUUCCUAGCGGCGAACGGGUGAGUAACACGUGGGCAACCUUUCCUAUCGCGGGGGAUAACACCGGGAAACCGAUGCUAAUACCGCAUGUCGUCACUGGUCGCAUGGCUGGUGAAGAAAGCAGCAAUGCACGAUGGGGUGGGCCCGCGGCCUAUCAGCUAGUCGGUGGGGUAACGGCCUACCGAGGCGAUGACGGGUAGCUGGUCUGAGAGGACGGCCAGCCACACGGGGACUGAGACACGGCCCCGACUCCUACGGGAGGCAGCAGUGAGGAAUCUUCCGCAAUGGGCGAAAGCCUGACGGAGCGACACCGCGUGUGGGAUGAAGUCUUUCGGGGUGUAACCACUGUCGGAGGGGAAGACAAAAAGACGGUACCCUCCAAGAAAGCCCCGGCUAACUACGUGCCAGCCGCCGCA
rnacentral:rRNA from 1 species